rnacentral:tRNA from 1 species
GCCGGGCUGGCGGAAUAGGUAGACGCACGGGACUUAAAAUCCUGGGGACAGAAAAGUCCGUGCGGGUUCGAGUCCCGCGUCCGGCA